rnacentral:rRNA from 1 species
AGAGACAGCAGUCGCCGCGGGAAUACAGAGGGUGCGAGCGUUAAUCGGAUUUACUGGGCGUAAAGCGUGCGUAGGCGGCUAAUUGAGUCGGAUGUGAAAUCCCCGAGCUUAACUUGGGAAUUGCAUUCGAUACUGGUUAGCUAGAGUGUGGGAGAGGAUGGUAGAAUUCCAGGUGUAGCGGUGAAAUGCGUAGAGAUCUGGAGGAAUACCGAUGGCGAAGGCCGCCAUCUGGCCUAACACUGACGCUGAGGUACGAAAGCAUGGGGAGCAAACAGGAUUAGAUACCCCAGUAGUCCCUGUCUCUUAUAC